UUGUAUAGCUAACACGAAAGAGAGAGAGAAGCAAAUGGAGAAGGUUAUAGAAGAACAACACAAGAAAAGGAAUAAGAGAGUUUUAGGGUUUUAUCGAUUAACUCAAAAAAUGGAGAAGAGAAGGGAAAAUCAGGGGAAAUGAAUAUGGCCGUUCGUGAUUCUCAUCAGCGGAAGAGGUAUAAAAACUAUAAGGUUUGGGUUAGGAAAGAUUGAUGUUUUGGGGCUCCGAACUCCAUUUUUGUUCUUGGAAUGGAUAGGACUGAAUGCUAUGCUAGUAUUCAUGAUGGCAACUGAGGGCCUCUUUGCAGAUUUUGUAAAUUGAUGGUAUUAUGAAGAUCCACGUAACUCCCUAGUCAUCUAUGCUAUGUUGAAAAUUACUACAAUUUGCAGGUGUGGAGUGCGUUGAAGCCAAACACUGAUGACUCAAAAAACCCAAUACAUGAGAUGGAUUUAUUAUCUAGUCAAAAAAAUGAUGUUAAUUGUGCAUGUACUGGUUGCUCUGUGGCUUCAAAAAUUUAACAUCUGACCCUUGGAAAGAAGAAAAUACACUGAAGUUUCAAAAUUUCUGCAUUCAAUAGCCAUAUUCCUUACUUGAGUUACAACGCCCUGUUGAGAAGAUUAUAGAUCAAUCCGCCGAUUCUUAUUCUCCCACCCACUCACAAGUAAGUUUCUUCAUUCUAAAUUUUAGUUUAACUUUUAUACUUUGUCACUGUAAAUCCAUUGGUUAUCUUAACAAAUAUAUUUUUUGUUUGUCUGUCGCUUGCUUUCUAGUAUUGCAAGAUUGUAUGAGUAUAAUUAUCAUUAUUUAUUUUAUUAAUUUUUGUUUUAUUAUUUCAACAAGAUGGUGAUUCAAAUGAACUCGAGUCUUUUUUAAGUACAAGACAAUCAUAUAGUGGAAGUAAAAUUUAGGGAGUUUAUGAUAUUCUUUUUAGGAUAAAACUAUAUUUAGUUUAUUAUGAAUUUUGAGUACUUAUUGAUUAAGUUGUAAAGAUGAUUUUAUUUUAAAUUGAUUUUAUGUUACUA